CUUCAAGAACAGUUUUUCUAUUAGUUGAUUUUGUUCUAUCCUUUUCAUUCUAAAGAUUAUUCUUUUUGGCAUAGAAAACAGAUUUGAGAAGCUGUGUCCUCUGGGACAUCACUCUUCAUUGAUCAGUUUACCCCAAGCAGUGGUCCUAGCGUUUGUACUUUGUUUCAGUACAAUUUUAAAAUACUCUGAAUUUUCCUUAGUUUGCCUUGUUCAACUUCAGCGUUAGUAUUCUUGACAUUAUUUUUACAAGACUAAUCCAUUAUUUUGUAUUCAUUCUGUUUCCUAUCCCUUGUUUCCAUCUUUUAUGCAAAAUUUUAAGACCAAAAAAAGGGGAUGAACUUUACCUCCACAUCUGAUAAUUCCCCCUUUUCCUCCUUAUGAAAUUAUUUUUCUUUGUGUCUUCAGAGUUACCUUUAGGAGGGCUGAUUUCCCUGGCAAAAUUUUGUUUUCUAGGAACCUAGCUUAUACUUUCUCUGAACCCAUUGAAUCCUGCUCUCCUAGAAUCAAUGAUACAUGUCAAACUAAGCUGGUUAUCCUUUCCACUGUCACAAAUGUUAAGACAGAAUGGAAAUGAUUUGCAGCUGAGUGAAUCAGGAAGUGACAGCGAUGAAUGAAGAAAUUGUGGGCCUUAACAUGAAUAUUUUUAAAAAUUAGAAUAUCAGAAAAUUUGUUUUGCACUAAGAUUAAAAUUUCUCAAGGCUGGGAAGUGUCUCAACUUUUGAUGAUAAUGGAAAUGUAAUUUGAUUCUGAAUUUUCUACUGAUGUUAUAUGGAAACAACACUGCUUUGAUCUACUUAGUUUAUUUAGUUUCCUGAGUUCAAAUCUGGCCUCAGAUACUUACUAGUUGUGUGACCCUGGGCAAGUCACUUCCGUUUCCUCAUCUAUAAAAUGAGCUGGAGAAGGAAAUGGCAAACCACUCCAGUAUCUUUGUCAAGAAAAGCCCAAAUAGGGUCAUGAAGAGUUGAACAGGACUGAAAUGACUGAACAACAAAGAAUUUUUGUAAUGGACUAGAUUGAUAGUAAAAUACUAUGAUGAUAAUUAUGGUGAUUGUAUUUUUAUGUUUGCCACCUUCUGUUCUUGACAUUUUAGUUGGUAAUAGCUAAAUAACUAUAUAAAUUUAAGGUGACACAAUGUACAUGUAUCAGAGAAAACAAUUUGUUCAUCCCUCUUACAGAUUCAAUGUCAAUUGCUUAUUUGAUUUUUGAAAUGAAAAAUAAAUAGCUAAAUGUCAAAAACCUAAAUUAUGUU
rnacentral:lncRNA from 1 species